rnacentral:rRNA from 1 species
UACGAAGGGGGCUAGCGUUGUUCGGAAUUACUGGGCGUAAAGGGCGCGUAGGCGGCGUGUCAAGUCAGGCGUGAAAGCCCCGGGCUCAACCUGGAACCGCGCUUGAGACUGGCAUGCUCGAGUUCGGGAGAGGAUGGUGGAAUUCCCAGUGUAGAGGUGAAAUUCGUAGAUAUUGGGAAGAACACCGAUGGCGAAGGCAGCCAUCUGGACCGACACUGACGCUGAGG